CACUAAGCUGGGCUGGAAAGCAAGCAGGUUUGAAUGAUCAGAGAAUAGACAGAUGCUUUCUAAAGUGCUGGAGAUCAAAAUAACAGCCACAAAUUUCUGGUCCUGUGAACCUGACCUUUAGACCAGUACUGUAUUUCUGACCCAGACCUGCCCAGAACCCAGCAAAAUAAGGUUAUAGUUUCUGCCUGGUCUUUCAGAAUAAUAAUUAACAGUAGUGCUCUGAUCUCUUUGAACUAUUUUAAUGAGGAAAUGCCAAAGUAGGUGUGAACUAUGGAAUCUCUGAACGGGAGCACCUGGCAAAGGUCACCUUUAAAUUGAAGCACAAACCUAUUCCUUUGGGUUAAGUUGGUGCUUUGGUCUUACUGCAGAAGUUGGCACACCUGGGCUGCUGGCCGUGUUACCCAGGACUCACCUCCUUGCGAUUCUUCCUGGUGAGGCUCUGCCAUGCUUGAACCAGGGCAUCCUUUCUCUUGGCAGCCCUGCUGGUGCCGAUCCAUUGGGGCUCUGAACAUCAGAAUGGCACUGGGCCUCCAUGAAGUUCCUUAAGGAGGACAACAGAGGAAUGUUGGAUCCUAUGUGGCUGAUGUGUGGAUGUGAUAUUCAGGUGCAGUGCCAUCCAUUUCCAAGCUUAUCAUAAAUCUUGAUAUAUUUUCACUCUGAUAAUUCGGCAGGCUGCUUGGAGCGGGGGAGGAGCUUCUUGGCAGAGCAGCUGAAUGGCAGCCAAAGAAGGGUACAAGACAAUCUGAACAGUGUUCAGCACGAACAUUUUGCAAUACUCCCCUCUAAUAAUUGGGGUGGUCUCACUUUUGCUCUUCUACACAUCUGUCACCCAACUCUAAUCUGAAAGUUUGGGCUUCUGGCUUUCAUGUCAGUGAUAUCAAAUGGAGCUGAAUGCUGAAAAUGAACUUCAACAAUUCAGAACAAGGCCAAGAAAGUCUGUAAUGCAGAAAGAAGUUCAGGAUACCCAUGCUAGUGCUGGUACACACUCAUGCCCACUUCACAGCACACUUUGGUGCUUUACUGACAUAAAUCCCAGUUGCUCUAAUGACAAAACUCAGCAGACGAGGGUACUGUGCGUCAACCUAGCACAUCCUUAUGGACAAAGAUGAGCCAUGGUAAUGUGGAAAUGCAAGUUGCUGUUCUGUCCAUUGCGACCUUUCUUAUACUUUAAGAAACUUACUUUGUAAAUACUGAUUUAUUUCAAAGAAAACAUUCAAACUUUACAGUUAUUAUUCUAUUUAUGUGCUGGAAAAAGAGGGUCAAUUAGAAGGACUGCUGCCACAGUUCAACAAAAUGUGGAUAUGCAGAAUUUACCACAAAAAUCCAACUUUUCAGCAACUAUUCAUGAACUGAACAAGGAAGCUAUGCUAAUAGGAGCUUGUUAACUUGUGAAAACCCUUCAUGUGCAUCUAUGGAGUGGCUAGCAAAUGGAGUGCAAAGUCUGCUGGAGUGGCAAAGUUAGGGCCUUAGACAGGACCUCGCGAUCAGUGUUUCGGUCCCUCUGUCCCUUAAGGCUGCCCUGGUAGCCAUGACAAAGGCAAGGGAACUUGCAAACACUUUCCUCGUUCUUUCCUGAUCUUCUUUCUGCUGGGUUUCCUCUGUUCCUCCUCCCUUCCCUCAUACACAUCCCAUUCAUCUUUGUUUUUUCAGCAGAACUGGCUGAAAUCUUUCUUUGCUGCGGAUUCAGAGUUUGCUCCUGGGUUAUUUCUGAUCUGUUCUUCAUUUCUUCAAACGCGCUUUGCUGCCUCGUGUUGGAAAGGAUGCCAGAGGACUUGUGGGCUGUGCUUCUAGACAAGAAUAAUCUUAUUUCUACAGGACUCUCACUUUAAAUCUCUCAAGUUACAGUUCUGAUACUCUUAGUUUUAAUAUCAGCUUUUGGUUUUAAUACUCAAGUAAUCUAUGGAUAGAAUCCAUUACAGUUGAAGGCAGAAGUCAGAUUUCCAACAUGAGCUAAUGGCCUGGACAAACGGUUAGCUACUUACACCUUAAAAGCUGAUAAAUUUGGCAAUUUAAUACAGGCUCUCCAUGCUGUGGGCAAUACAGAAUGGUGCUAUAAUCUGUCUGAUAUGUCAUAGGGUAGCAACUCUUUUUUUUUUCCACAGAAAGCUAAUCCUUGACAGCAACAAAUUGGAAGUUCCUGGGCUUGCAAAUAAAUGUGGGUAUUUUCAUCAGACCUUCAUAUUUUCUUCAGUAACUGUGAAAUCAAAAGCACUUCUAAAAAUCCAUCGAGAACACUUUGGAGUCGUGGGGAAUAUCCAGGUUGGUCUGCUAGAAUUACUGGAUGGAAGAGACAGUGGAAAAUAAUAGUUGGCCACACUGGUCUCAGGAAAACAGGGCGGAAAUGGGUAAAGCCAUUAUGAAAACCAAUUUACCCUAGAAACCUGUAACUACAUAGGCUUUUUUUUAUUGUUAUUUCUGAACUCAGAGCUCUGUGUGAUUAAUGGAUCAAACAGUGUAAGCUAGACCUGAAAUGUCUGUUCGAAAAUAUUAUGUUAAAUGCUCCUGCUCAUUUGCAUACUGUCUGCCUGUUAAUAAAGUCACAGGAGAGGAAGAAAGCUGUAGAACUGUCUUAUCUGUACAAAUAACACCUUGCAUUUUGGAAACAGAGUGAUCUGCUUUGGAGGCCUCUGCUGCAGUAUUAGAUGACCACAGAGGACGCUGCUUUCAAAAGCAACACAGCUGAGCCUCCUGCCAGAGCUCUGCUCUGUAGCACUCACAUUUAGUGCUGGACAAACCAACCUAUGAUGUGUUUCCCAUGGUGCUGUGCAACCCCUCUGAGCUCCAGCAAGGAGGAUUUAAAAAGAAAUAGAGCAAAAGACAAGGACAGAUUUAAUGAGGGUUUUUGCUGUGCAAAGUCUAUGGCAUGAGGGCCAAAAUAAUGGGGAAGGAAUAGGUUGGUUUGCACAAGGCAGGCACUGUGCUGCUGCACCACUUCACCCUGCUAAUGCUGUACAAUGGGAUUCUGCUGAAACUCGGAUGUUGGCGAGCUCUGCUCUGGCUUCCUGCACAAAGACAAAUGUUAUGCUACUCUCAAGUAUGCCUGGAAUGUAAUUCUGCUGCCCUGCCAUUCAUUUGUGGUGCCUUUUCACAUUUGUGCUAAUGAGAGUUCUUUUCCAGAACUCCAGAAACACUUGGGUGAUGUUCGCACUGUGAAAUAAACAUUUAUUUGUGGUUUGGAAAGUUUUCCACUGCUUGGUGCUUUUUGCUUUUCAGAGCAAAAUUUUUCAGUGAAUGGGGCUGUGAUCCAGUUCUGACUGCAGAAAGUAAACAGUUUCUCUGCUGUGAAGAUCAGGAGGCACUGGGAACUUCUCAGGAAGCUUCUUUUCCCAAGAGAUCCUCAUUGGUGUUCACAUCACAGCCUCUUCCCAAGGAUGAGGUUCCCCAUCCCUCCCUCAGGUACAGAGCUCGCUGCAUCCUGCCCUCAGCUCCCCAUCAGCCCCGGGCUGAGCACUGGUGACCCUUGUGGCUGUGGUGCUCUUUGCUUACUGUCAUCAAGGUUGGGAAAGACCUCGAGGAUCUCCAAGUCCAAGCAUCAAUCCUAAGCGUUCCUCUUCUCCAUUUCUGAGCCCAGGACUCUCUGGCACCUCAGCCCAGCAGAGCGGAAGCAGCAAUGAUCUGAGAAAAAUAAAGUAUAUUUUGCAGUCAGAGCUUAGGGAGGAAAAGAGAAAUCAGAUGAGGCUUCCUGGAGCUCCACAAUCUCUUGAAAAUAAAUGAACAGAUUGCCAUGAAUGAAUAAACUGCUUCAGACGCUAAUUCACAUUCAGGAGGCCGCGGAGCUGAGGGUACCAGUGAAGAUGACAGAAACAUUUCCCUCUGAUUGUUCCUGCAUCGCGCCGUCUCAUUGCUGAAGGUAGCAAACAGAAGAUAGCCGUGCUCUGCACACAAACCGCUCGGCACAGAUGGCUCCGGGUGCGUCUGUCGGCUGCGAGCUCAGUGCACAUUGCUGCCCAUGGAAACUGCAGCACUGCCUCAGGAGAGGAAAAGUGGGGAAAUUCAGUCAGUAGCAACCAAAGGGCAAUGAAUCUCAUGGCCUGCAGACCUGGAACUUUCCUGUUUUUCUGCCCAGCGGCCAGCUCACC
ensembl:lncRNA